rnacentral:misc_RNA from 1 species
GCCGAGCCGAGCUACUCGAUCUACUCAUGGCCGAACUAAGCUAGCCAAUCUACUCAUGGCCGAACCGAGCUAGCCGAUCUACUUGUGGCCGAACCAAGCUAGUUGAUCUAUUUAUGGCAAGCCACUAAUACGGUUUGGUCCACGAGCUAUCUAUGAACUCGAGUUUCUAGGUCAAGUGAAUAUUUUGGGAAGUUAUAUCAUUAACAAUCAUUUCUCUCAAUUUCUUUUCAUUUCCCACUUUUUUGGAGAGAUAUUUUGGGUUAAAAUUUUUUCUCCUUACUCUUCCUUUUUCUUCAAUUUUCUCUUCUAUUUGAUGUCCAAAUAAGAAAAUUUAAAGAAAUCAAAUUUCUU